UGUUAGUUAAUAUAUUGUUUAUUUAUCAGUAAGUUUUCUUUUAAUAUAUAUUUUAGUUAGACUCAAUUAACUCUGCAGAAAUGACACAGAUAAACAAGCCCUAAUGUCACAAAAGAAGAACUGUCCCCAAUCAAAAAAAUCGUCAAAUUCAAAAGCAUCAUCAAAACAUCAUUUACAGAUUAUUGCAGCAAAUCAAAUUAAAUUACGACAGUUUAAAACAUAAAAUGUAUCGAUCCAGCCCAUGAAGCUAUGGCCAAAAUCUUGGUGCCCAGUAAUUUAUUGGACAAUAAAUUGGAUGUGUAAAAUAAGGUAAUUCAUGCAAGUAAUAUUAUUAAAUGUGGUGGAGCAGCUACUCUUAAAAUUGAAGAAGCUGAAAGAAUGGAGGGAACCAAAGUGGAAUUAAUAAAAAUAAUUUAUUACA